rnacentral:rRNA from 1 species
AGAACGAACGCUGGCGGCAGGCUUAACACAUGCAAGUCGAGCGCCUCGCAAGAGGAGCGGCAGACGGGUGAGUAACGCGUGGGAAUCUACCGUGCCCUACGGAAUAGCUCCGGGAAACUGGAAUUAAUACCGUAUACGCCCUUCGGGGAAAGAUUUAUCGGGGUAUGAUGAGCCCGCGUUGGAUUAGCUAGUUGGUAGGGUAAUGGCCUACCAAGGCGACGAUCCGUAACUGGUCUGAGAGGACGACCAGUCACACCGGAACUGAGACACGGUCCGGACUCCUACGGGAGGCAGCAGUGGGGAAUAUUGCGCAAUGGGCGAAAGCCUGACGCAGCGACGCCGCGUGAGGGACGAAGGCCUUCGGGUUGUAAACCGUCUUUCAGCAGGGACGAAGCGAAAGUGACGGUACCUGCAGAAGAAGCACCGGCCAACUACGUGCCAGCAGCCGC